rnacentral:misc_RNA from 1 species
AAUCCUCAACCUUCUCUGUUUCUUUUUGAAUCAGAAAAGGCUUGGACUUUGGAGGUUUCUGCUGGUCUCUCUUGAAGCCAGCUCCUCUUAAAUGUAUUAGCAGGGUCCUCUUGGUCGAUCCUCGACGUGAUAAGAUUCUUUUACGUCGGCUUUGCCUCCUUUGGGACCUGCUUCCCUCUUUGACCUACAAUGAACC